CCGGAAUCCGGCCUCACUCAACACCCGGUCGAAUCGAACAGGUAACCAGGGACGGCAUGCUUCAUAUCACUCGGUCGUUCGCAAAAACACAAAUUUCCUGGCGGCGGUUCCUUUUUAAGCACGAUCCGAAUCCUCCACGGCCACGCUCAUCGUGACGAACCUGACCUGACCUGGAGAUGCAUGUGCCCUCGCUAAAAUACUGCAGAGGAACAAAGUAAAAAGACAGUCAUAGCCCUACGAAUGUCCUUGGAACAACGGGUGAGAUGAUUAACAAACGUGUCCUCGUUCAGAACAACCGGAACUGGUCCAGAUUCCUAGCUCAUUCAUGGCCCUGCAAGUACAUAUCCUCUUAACGACGCUGAUCGGAACAGGCUCGAGGGACUGUUAAGGCCCUACCUGGUCAUGUUCCGACCGAGAAAUAUUAACCACAUUGGACUUGCGAUGACUGGACUGGAUGUCGGAACGAAAUUGCUGUCGUUUUAAUAGUAGGCCGAUGCAGCAAGCAAGUCUGCCUCAAUGAGUUUGCAGCGAAGCCCAUCGGAGAGCAGGAACAGGCUCACUGAACAGCAAAUGCAAGUCGUGUCCCGUCCCGGCAAGGCGAUGGAACCGGUGAAGAGGUUACUAGCGCGCUUAAAACCCGGUCUGGCUCCUAUGCAUCCUCCGGCAAGAAAUGGAUGUCCAGAGAGCAGCACGGCGCAACCCCUGCAGCCAACCAGGCUAGAUGUGAACGGGGGAAACGAACCCAUUAUCUCUAACAGUCAUGCCGGAAUAGCCACGACGAUUACAACACGGUUUACGUCCUCCUCCUCCUCCUCCUCGGAGGUGGCUUAGGUGGCAGCGGAAUCAGCCUCUGAAGGACAGGUAGAAUAAUGAUCUUGAUAUAUUCCCAUCCAGCAAACGUUUCCCUCUUCCAUCUCAAUAGUUUUGGGUCGUUCGGAAGCUUCAACAUUUACCAGUAAAACGUCGGGUGGGCAUCGGUUCAAAGAGGACGAAUACGACGGAUACUUGCAUGAACCGAAAACCAGAACCACAACAAAAAUUUCCUGAACCACUUCAACAACUGUUAACGACAACGACAGAGCGGGAACGACGAAGUCAAGAAUGAGUACGAAGAGUUCAAUCUGAUAUUGGUCAACCAAAACGCAGCGGCAACGCUGGCAACGCCGCCGGUAUGAACGGGCCAAAUAGCAACCAAGCGGGCCCAGGCCACCAACAUCAGCAAGCUCCGACACCGCCGCAGUUCUGGCGCUGAUGCCGUUCAUGUAUCGUGGCAGCGGAGGCGCAGGUGGAAGUUCCGGAUCGCCUUCGUUGGACGGUCCACGUUCGGCGGGACUGAUUAACGAAAACCGAGGCAAUCGUGGAGUGCGAAGCAACAGUGGCGGUGGAGACGGAUACAACAGUAGCUGCGUCUCGGGUGGCAGCGGCGGUGGUACGAAUCAUCACCAAUUUCACAAAGGCAAGAGGACAAGCGCAUGGCUUGGGGUCGCGAAGUGGAACGCGAGCAGGACCGACUGGAGCGUAAAUCGUCGCAACAGAAUGGCCACGUCGGCGUCGGAUGUCGAGGACUGGUCGCCGAGACCAAGGAAUGUCUCAUGUUGCGUUGCGAGGAGUACCAGCGAUGGGAGAUGGAACGCAAACAUGCCGCUGCCAGGAAGCUGCAAAAGAUGAAGAGCAAGAAGGGUGAAGACGGAGGACCGGGGUCUUCACCGGACAAGGACGCUCUUGAGGAACAACAGAUCGAACUUCUGUGGUCGAGAACAUACUAAUAGUCGCAGCACUGCCAGCAACCAUGGUCCACCGGCCCUGUAGCAGAAGCAGUACAAUAGUAUUCCGUUUGUGCAGCAGUACGAUCCGCGGUUCAUGGGGCGAGUUCGAGGAGGGUGCAAUGCCAGUAAUUUUUCGGUUCAUGUAAUCCAAAAUUGCCACGCGGGAAGGCCAUCCCGCUAGAAAUUCCUUCGUAAAGACGCACCACGGAACAGGUUCGACGCCAUGCAAAUCCCCACGGAACGACGCAGCACGGACCAGGUUCGUCAGACGGUUCCCGCCAUGCCAUUGCCCUUGGAACGACGGGAUGAAUUGCUGCACAACGCAUACAGGUCCAGAUUAACCGUAGUCGGUCCCCGCAGGCCUGAUGGUCUCACCGGUGAAUCGAUGUGUUUGUGAUUCAAUAAACUUGUUAUUUUAUGAAAAUAAACAAAUGGAAACGAGAAAAUUACAGUUUUAAUAUCAACAAAUCAAAUGACAGAUGAAAGAAAAACAAGAAGAAGACCACAAAAAAGAGGUUGAUACGCGCCCGAUU